CUCUGAAGCAGAAAGAAGAAGAACUAAGAUCAUUCAAACAGAGAGUGGCUGCAAAUGUGGCUGUGUCAUUAAAGACAUCAAACACUGAGAGCAUGAACGACCCAGUCAGUAAAACCAGACUGACUGAGAUGUACGACAACCUGAAACUGCUGCAGUGGCCUAAAACCAAAGAUCAGCUGAAGUCCAGGAACGUCGGCCCAAAGGAGGCCAAGGAUCUGAUCCAGAAAACCUUUGGAGCUGCAUCUGAAGAAAUGAGGAAAAGGAG